GACGAACGCUGGCGGCGUGCUUAAUACAUGCAAGUCGAGCGAGGUUACUGUUUCGGAUCCCUUCGGGGUGAAGAAGCUUUAACCUAGCGGCGGACGGGUGAGUAACGCGUGGGUAACCUACCCCCAAAGUCCGGGAUAACAGCGGGAAACCGCUGCUAAUACCGGAUGCCUUUACCUUGGGGCAUCUUGAGGUAAAGAAAGGCAACGCUUUGGGAUGGGCCCGCGUCCCAUUAGCUAGUUGGUGAGGUAACGGCUCACCAAGGCGACGAUGGGUAGCCGGCCUGAGAGGGUGGACGGCCACACUGGGACUGAGACACGGCCCAGACACCUACGGGAGGCAGCAGUUGGGAAUCUUAGGCAAUGGACGAAAGUCUGACCUAGCGACGCCGCGUGAGGGAAGAAGGCCUUCGGGUUGUAAACCUCUGUCAUGGGGGAAGAAGUAAGUGACGGUACCCCAAGAGGAAGCCCCUGCUAACUACGUG
rnacentral:rRNA from 1 species